UAUCUAUAUUUAAUGAAGUAGUUUGUUAUCAGAUGAGCUAUCAAGCAGUAGAUUUGUUUUUUCCAAAGUGGAAUAUUUUGGUGGAGUUUCUUGAGAACACAAUAUCUACUCUUAAAUUGGAUUCAAUAUCAGGAUCUCAUCCUAUGGACGUAAUCACAUUGACUGUUAAUGUGGUAUGGCAAGAUCAUUGGGGUGCACUUGUUACUCAUUGCAUAUGCCAUUUAUUUGUAUACUUUUGCAUAAAUUCUAUGUGCAUAUCACUUAUGGUAAAACUCUAUUUUUGUUGAAAUACGAGUAUCUCGUAAAUUUUACUUUUGACAUGCCUAUAUGAUGAUAAUUCAUACACGGUAUGUAAAUUUUAAAUCCUAUUACAACUUUGGUGACUCAUGGAGGACUUCUGAUAGGUCAACUUAAUACAUCACCACCAUGAACAAAACCUUUCAGUCCAAAACAAGUUGGGUUAUGCUAGAGUAGAAAUCCAUAAGGUAUCUAAAACCAAGUCAUGGUUUCGGAACGUGGCUGGCUAACUUCCAUUCAUCUCUGUCCAUGGCUAGUCCUUUGGUGAUAUUCUAGUCCUUCAAUUCCCUCUUUUUGGAAUCCUCCCAUGUAAAGUUUGGCCUACCCCAACCUAUCUUGACAUUAUCAACACACCUUAACCUCUCUCUAUGUACCGCCGCUUCUAGAGGCAUGUGUUGUAUAUGCUCAAACCAUCUUAGAUGAUGUUGGAGAAGAUUCUAUUCAAUCGGUGUUAUGCCAAUUAUGUCACAUAUAUCAUCAUUCCGGGACCGAUGCUUCCUUGUAUGGCCACAUAUUAAUCUCAACAUGUGCAUGAGUACCACUCCUUACUGUUGGACAUGUCACCUUUUAGUUGCCCAACAUCAACACCAUACAACAUCACAUGUCGAAUUUUCAUCCUAUAUAGAACCUGCAUUUUCACUUUUCUGGCACUCUGUUCUCGCAGAGGACACUAGAAGCUUGGUGCCACUUUGUCCAUCCAGUUUUGAUAAGAUGCCUCACAUCUUUGUCGAUAUCACCAUCCUUCUACAACAUUGACCACAAAUAUAAAAAGGUGUCGUCCUCAGGUAUUGAUUGCCCGUCAAGGAAAUCUCCUCCUCAUCAUCAUGGCUAGUACUAUUGAAACCACAUAUAAUGUACUUAGUUUUAGUUCUACUAAGCCUAAAGAAGUCUGAUUCCAAAGUAUGUCUACCGAACUCUAACUUUCCAUUAACCCUCAUCCAACUAUAGCAUUGACUAGCACUACAUUGUACACAAAGAACACACAUCAUGGAAUAUCUCCUUCUAUAUCUCUUGUUACUUCAUCAAUCACCAAAUAAAAAAGAUAAGGACUCAAAACUCGCACUUGGUGUCAGCCUAUUUUAAUUUGAAAGUGAGUCUCGUCAUGACUUGUUCGAACACUUGUCACAUUAUUGUACAUCUUCUUGAUGAUGUAGUUUACUUUGUUGGGACUUUGUGUUUCCCCAAGGCCCAGCACACGACACUCCAUGGUAUCUUAUCAUAGGCCUCUCCAAGUCAAUGAACACCAUAUUCAUGUCCUUCUUUUGCACCUUGUAUCCCUCUAUUAGUUGUUGUACUAAGAAAAUGGCUUCCAUGGUCGACGUACUAGGCAUGAAACAAAUCUGUCUUUUUGUCACACUUUUCAUUCUUUUUAAGAGGUUGUCAAGGACUCUCUCCCAAAUAUAGCUUCACUAAAUAUCUCCUUAGCUGAAUCUUGUCUUCAGUAAAACUUUGAACAACCCCCCCCCCCCUUGUUCUCGAGGAUUGGUAUAAUAUACUCUGCCUCCUUUCUUUGGGCAUCUUGUUUGAAUGAAAGAUAGAUUGAAAAGCUUACUUUCUUUUUGAUCCAGUCAUAACCCCUUUCCAUUACUUGCAUAAUGGAAAUACAUUAGUUCAUGUCAAAGAAGGAGAUGGGAAAGGUGAGAGUGAGUUCAAAGCAUCAUCGAGAAACUCAUUGUGGAUACUCGCCAUCAAGAUACCCACUACACUAUGGAAACUUGACGACACUAUGUAGACUAUUCCUAUCAGACCAAUGUACUAUACUCGCACAUGAGAAAAAGUGACAAAUGCCAACAUAGGGAAUAAAAAAAAGUGGCAAAAGGAACUAACGAAUAGACAUAACCAAAACACAAAUGGAUCAUGUAUUAAGUAGGCCAUAAGCACUAGGAAGGCAUCAAGCAUUGCCCCCAUCUUGAAGAGGAUCGCACAUCCGCAUCAUGUUUGAAGUGUUGUCCCUUAUCAUCUUGGCGUUUAUCCUCAAUAAAAAAUAGGGCAACAUAUAGUAGCUAAACCAACUAUAUAGAAAGUACCCUUACCUAUAGGGGAAGAAAGCAAGGCAUCAAGAAUAAGUUUUCCACACAUUGUUUGGGCACAGAUCGGUACCAAACAUGCUAGUGAUGGUACACCAUACUACUCUAGUGAUCGAGAACAUGAACAAAAUAUGUUUUCAUGUCUCUUGAUCACCAAAAAAAGGAACAUUUAGAUUUCUCUUAUAGUUCCUCAUUUUCAUCACACACCUAUUAAAACAGCAUCAUGGAAAAGUUGUCGGAGGAAAAUCUGAAUUUUCAAAGAAGUUUCUCUUGCACUAUCCACCUAUAGUCAUACCAAGAUAGGUUUUCCUACCAAAGAUUGUAAACAUAGUAAUGAAGUAGAAUUUUGGUCCAAGGGAAUAUCUAGCAACAUCACCAUCAUUGAAGAUACAAAGGCUCUUGGCCAACUCUAGAAUGUAGUACCAUUGGUCACUCAGGUCAGGAUAUUUAGCCUACUUCUAGAAAAGGAGGUAGUAUUAGCUUCUAGGAACUUAUUAAUAGUACAAUCUUGAUAACUGCAUAUGUUGAGAAAUUGGGGGAACUUUUCAGCAAGAGGAAUUUUGUCCUUCAGGGAGUCCUUCUAUAAUCUUGCAAUAUCCAAAGAUUGAACAUCAGUUUUUCUAACAACAAUGUAAUAUUCUUUCACCUUAGCGAAGCUUUCCAGCUAGCUGAAUCAUUGGUUCUUGUCUCUAAUAGUAGCCAUGAUAUGUCUUUUGAAAUAAUGCACUUAUACUAUAUUUCCAUAGACCUGUUUUUUCUUCGGUGUCCACCCACACUUGUUGAGUAAACUAAUUUCUAUUUAUGUAGAUCCUUAUCCCCAAGGCCCCCCGUUUUAAAUUUCCUAGAUCGAUAAAUUUUGGACCGUUUAAUCACGUGAUACCUCUUCUUUUCUUUACUAAAUUUCGAAAAAAUAUCCUUAUUCACUUGUAUAAUGUCUUAUGAAAGCUUUAGACACCUCAGAACAUAAACAUAUAAUAGAAAGCAAUACUAGAUAGAUUCACAUUCAAUAAAGUGAGCCUACCAUCAUAGGAUGCAGUAUUUCCAAUCCAUGUGUCACAUCUUUUGAAGUAUUUGGUUUCCAUGAAAUACCACUCCACCCCCUUGAAAUAGGAGAAUCUAACAAGUACACCAAGAUAUUUUGUAGGAAAAUACCCAAUCUGGUAGUUAAAUAUAUGUGUAUAUAUUUUACGUAUCUCAUCAUCACCUCCCACAUAUAACAUUUCACUUUUUUGGAAAUUAAUGUUCAACCCGGUCAUCAUUUCAAACAUGUGGAGAAAUGAUCUAUGAUUUAGAGAUUUAUCAGGAUCAAGAUGAAUACAUAAUACUAUAUCAUAAGUAUACCGCAAACGGCUACUCCAUUUUCAAUUAGUUCAGGGGCAAGACCAAUCAGAAGUUUAUUUUACUAUGCAUUCAAAACCAUCUUAAACAAGCACUUAAAAUAUCAAAUAGUGGGUCCCCUUGCCUUACCCCGUUGUGACUUUGGAAAUAGGGCCCAAUAGUAAUAUUUAGCUUCACAAUAGUGCCAUUACACAUUAUGUAUUUCACCUAGUUGCAACAUGUAGGCCCAAACCACCCUCAUCUCAAGAUAAUCAAUUUGAAAGUCCAAGUUGACCUUGGCAUAGACUUUCUCAAAAUCAAGCUUAGUGGAAAUCCCAGUUAUUUUUCUUAAUAUAGGUAGGAUGAUGUAUUUCAUCCAGGGAGAGUAUACCAUAAGUAAUAUUUAUGUGGUCAAUAAAAGUAUAUGGGUGUACACUAAACAAGUUAUCAGUAAGCGGUGCCACCCUUCUAUCUAGGACUUUAGUAAUCAGCUUGUAGAGACAUGUAAGCAAACAUAUAGGUCUAAAUUGUUGAAUUUUCAUGGCCCUGCUUAUUUUAGGAAACAAAUUAAUACUCCCAUAGUCGAAUAUAAGAAAACUGAGGGUGCUGGCAUGAAAGGAAGCGAAUGAAUUCACAAUGAUAUCUUGCAUAAUAACACAAUGCCACAAAUAAAUCUCAAAAGAAAUGUUGUCAAGAAAAAGGGCUUUAUACUAUCGUUAUUUCUACAAGGUAUCACCACACAUCAAUGGGGAUACCAUUAGGGACAAUCACUUUGCCUCUCAUCAUCCUUUUUAAAGCCUCCCUACCCUCAAACUCCUCGAUUCGCCGCACAAAACGUCUAUUGUUAUCAUCAAAGGAGUUGUCCAGCUCAAUAGUAGAAUUAUCAUUCUCUCCAUUUAACAUCUUAUAGAAGUAUUCUCACCAUAUAUUCUUUUUGUCCUCGUACUUCAUAAGAAGCUUUUUUUCUCCAUCCUUAAUGCAUUUUACUUCGUUGGCAUCCCUUAUCUUCCUCUCUCUGAUCUUGACCUGCUUGUGAAUGUUUGUUUCUCCUUCCUUUGUUCUUAAACACAUAUAGAGGCCAUGUUGCCUCAACCACUAACUUCACCGACACAUCUCCUAUCAUUCUUAUCGACCCUCACAGGUCAAUGGAAUAUGAGAAUAAUUUCUAGAUCCACUUAUAGAAAAAAGUUAGGAACAUAAUAAUUGAACAUUGUAUUCGAGUGAGCUAAAAUCGAGUCAUUUUUUUAUUAAAAAUGUUCAUAUCAAUGUUGACUAAGAUAACUCGGAUACUUCAAUUAAUAUUGUAAUAUAAUUUGUAUGCAUCCAGUUGUCCAUGUAUGCAUCGAACAUGAAGCCAACUUGUAAAAACUCGACCUACGUACAAUGAAGCCUAGUCUAACAAGUCUAGAUUGUGCAUCUCACAUGGUAGAGCAUUCAUAACGACACCUCAUGUGUACUUGUAAAUUUUAAAGGAUGGCUUAUGUCCUUGAAAAUUAGGAAGGAAUGGUGUAUCCUCUCACUCGUUCCAAUUAUUGUAUGGAGCUUAGAGGGGAGUAGUGUCACCAACUCCUCGAAUGCAUUGAUUCACUUGUAAUUGCUUACUAAGGCCUUAUCCUCCAUGUAAUGUGUUUGAUGUAAUAUCAACGGGAUAGUGUGGAAUCAGGUUACAUGAUAGAGUAUCGGGUUGGUACGCAUAUUAGAUCAUUUAGUUCUAUGUACUUCGAAUCUUUUAUCAAUACCUCAUUAAACCCCACAUAGUUCAAACAUAUAUUUACUAGGUGAGUAUACAACAUGGAGACGACAUUUGCUAGUGCAUGACACCAUAAUAUAAAAUGGUAUCUCCCAUAUAGUUGACAACCACUUACAAUAAUGAUAUUCUAUCACAUAUGCUCUCUUCAGUCACUAAACAUAAUCAUGCCUAGACAUUGAAGCUAGUAUAUAUGGAUACAUUGAUUUUAUUUUCCAACCAUCUUUGAUAUUAAUAAUGUUACUAAGUUGGAGUAUGAGUCGGAUUUAGGGAUUGCUUCUAGCUCUACAUGAACACCCAAUUUAGUGUAGGAGUGGUUCCUAGGAAAUGGUUGUUGAAUAAGCUAUGCUUCACAUUGCCACGAUGAACCUCAUCCUACAUGAUAAGUCAUGGGUACAUUCUACUAAACAUGGCAUCCAUCCCACUUGUGUUUGAUCUCUCUUAUCUUCUCCAAUUUGUUGAAAACACCAAUUUUAGCCGCUGAAAACAUAAAUUUUUGAAAAGGCUAUAAACGUCUCUGAACAGACUUCCUUCCUCACACUCUAUCCUUGAUGUAUUUUUAGUAGGUGUUUAAUCAUCCAUCUCUGCUAUUACUCAAUGGUGCAUAUAAAACAUUGAUAAGUAAGGUAUUUUCAUACAAGGGACCUUCUAAAAUAGUAUUAAAAAAUUAGGAUUUUGUAAAAUCUAUCAAACAUUAAAUAUUGGAUGUUGUUGUUUGCACAAAUGAACAACAAAUGUUGGUCCAGUUUAGCAUACACUGAAACAAGCAUCCGGUGAACCAUGAGUGGGCUCGGUGAGGGGGUUAAUUUAUGCAUGUUGCGUGAUGUAUAAUCUCAGCAACCAAAAGUUUGGCUAGUAGUUUGAUGAUACUUUUUGAUUAACUAUAUGUGUAAUCUUUUGAAAAUUACAAUGGAGUAUGUAAACUAAUACUUAAAUCAUUUUAGUUCCAUGUAUUGUAUUGGGCAUCAAUUUUGGUAAGUUUGUCAACGAAGAUUUAAUUUGUUGCCAUUAGUUUUCCAUUUCUAAAUGCGGACACGUAAAUUGUUUCAUGUUUUCAAUGUUAUUACUUUUAUGCCCAGGUUGAAAUACACCAUACCCAUGAAAUCAUUAGUCUUUUUGAUGAGAUCAUCUAUAUUAAAGGUGCUUCUAUUCUUCAAAUGGUACAAAGCUACAUUGGAGCAGAGCGUUUUCAGGAAGCAUUGAAGAAAUAUAUACAAAAGUAUGCCUACUCAAAUGCAAAAACAGAGGACCUAUGGGUCGUUCUUGAAGAGGAAACUGGAGAGCCAUUCAAGAAUUUCAUGAGUGCGUGGACAAAGCUACCGGGAUAUACCAUAAUUAAUAUCAAACAAAUAGGGAAAGGAAUCCAAGUUGAACAGGCCCAAUUUUUGCUAGAUGGAUCCUCUCGAGAUGGCUUGUGGGAUGUGCCACUAACUUUAAGAUGCUCUUCAUCAACAAAUAAAUUCUUUUGAAACACAAGCGUGAUAACUUUGAUGUAUGUGGUGAAUGGGGGAGGGAUGGAAGUUUUUUUAUUAAGUUGAAUAUAAAUGAAACAGAGUUUUAUCGAGUGAAGUAUGACCAAGAAAUUAAAACUAGACUUCAAAACGCAUUAGAGCCUAGUGAGUUCUCUUCAAUGGAAACAAUUGGUAUGCAACAUCUUUCAUUAUUAUGAUCUAUUUUUAUAUUUGAGUGAAAGAUUACUUUAACAUUAGCUUUCCAGGAAUUUUGGAGAACUCACUUAUGCUUUCCAUGUCCCACGAAGAUACACUAGCAUCGUUCCUAUGUACAGUAUAUGCUUGUCGUGAAGUAGCUGACUACAAUGUUCUCACACACAUACAAGCUGUAUGUACAUUUUAUUUCUCCAAACAGUAUAUGAUAUUUGUUUUCUAAAUUAUAAUUCUCCAUGUAUUUUACU